rnacentral:rRNA from 1 species
AACGAACGCUGGCGGCAGGCUUAACACAUGCAAGUCGAACGCAUGCCCUCUGGCAUGUUGGGCAGACGGGUGGGGAACGCGGGGGAACCUACGCCUUCAUACGGAAUAGCUCCGUGGAACUGGAUAUAAUACCGUAUGUUUCCCUAGGAACAAAGAUUCAUCGCCAAGGGAUGGGCCCGCGUUGGAGUAGUUAGUGGGUGGGAUAACGGGCUACCAAGGCGACGAGCCGUAGCUGGGCUAAGAGGAUGAUCAGCCACACUGGGACUGAGACACGGCCCAAACUCCUAGGCGAGGGAGGAGUGGGGAAUAUUGGAAAAUGGGCGCAAGCCUGAUCCAGCCAUGCCGGGUGAGUGAUGAAGGCCGUAGGGUUGUAAAGCUCUUUAACAGGUGGCGAUAAUGACGGUAACCGGAGAAGAAGCACCGGCUAACUUCGUG